GAUGAAGAACGUAGCGAAAUGCGAUAAGUAAUGUGAAUUGCAGAAUUCAGUGAAUCAUCGAAUCUUUGAACGCACAUUGCGCCCCCUGGUAUUCCGGGGGGCAUGCCUGUCCGAGCGUCAUUACUGCCCUCAAGCGCGGCUUGUGUGUUGGGCCUUCGCCCCCCCCGGGGGCGUGCCCGAAAGGCAGUGGCGGCGCCGUGCCCGGUCCUCGAGCGUAUGGGGCUUUGUCACCCGCUCUGGAGGCCCGGCCGGCCGCCGCCGACCCGCCCAGACCUUUAACCGGUUGACCUCGGAUCAGGCAGGGAUACCCGCUGAACUUAAGCAUAUCAAUAAGCGGAGGA
rnacentral:misc_RNA from 1 species